UAAUACCACUACAAAUAUUGCAUUCUAUUUUAUUUUUCUCUUGUUACAGCUUUCAUUCCAUUUUAGUGAAGCUCUUGUAUCUGAUGUCCUCAGCAGCACAGAAAUCCAUCUUUUCAAUUUAUUCUUACUGGGAUGAAAAUGAAAGAUUUAUUUGACUACUUUUCAGUAGUCAAGCAGUUGAAGGGGAUUAAUAUUUCUGAGGAGAUGUUUCUGACACAGGAGGCUUGCAGAUGUUCUUACACAAGCCUUUAAAAGGGCAUUCUUACAUAUGGUGUUGCAAGAACAUAUUCAACAAAUUUUUAGGUAAGCAAAUUGACUUAAUUUAAUAAGCCACAUUUCAUCAAACUAGA